rnacentral:rRNA from 1 species
GAACCACCUUCGGGUGGGGAUUAGUGGCGAACGGGUGAGUAACACGUGGGCAAUCUGCCCUGCACUCUGGGACAAGCCCUGGAAACGGGGUCUAAUACCGGAUACUGACCCGCCUGGGCAUCCAGGCGGUUCGAAAGCUCCGGCGGUGCAGGAUGAGCCCGCGGCCUAUCAGCUUGUUGGUGAGGUAACGGCUCACCAAGGCGACGACGGGUAGCCGGCCUGAGAGGGCGACCGGCCACACUGGGACUGAGACACGGCCCAGACUCCUACGGGAGGCAGCAGUGGGGAAUAUUGCACAAUGGGCGCAAGCCUGAUGCAGCGACGCCGCGUGAGGGAUGACGGCCUUCGGGUUGUAAACCUCUUUCAGCAGGGAAGAAGCGCAAGUGACGGUACCUGCAGAAGAAGCGCCGGCUAACUACGUGCCAGCAGCCGCGGUAAUACGUAGGGCGCGAGCGUUGUCCGGAAUUAUUGGGCGUAAAGAGCUCGUAGGCGGCUUGUCGCGUCGGUUGUGAAAGCCCGGGGCUUAACCCCGGGUCUGCAGUCGAUACGGGCAGGCUAGAGUUCGGUAGGGGAGAUCGGAAUUCCUGGUGUAGCGGUGAAAUGCGCAGAUAUCAGGAGGAACACCGGUGGCGAAGGCGGAUCUCUGGGCCGAUACUGACGCUGAGGAGCGAAAGCGUGGGGAGCGAACAGGAUUAGAUACCCUGGUAGUCCACGCCGUAAACGGUGGGCACUAGGUGUGGGCGACA